UACGAAGGGGGCUAGCGUUGCUCGGAAUCACUGGGCGUAAAGGGUGCGUAGGCGGGUCUUUAAGUCAGGGGGGAAAUCCUGGAGCUCAACUCCAGAACUGCCUUUGAUACUGAAGAUCUUGAGUUCGGGAGAGGUGAGUGGAACUGCGAGUGUAGAGGUGAAAUUCGUAGAUAUUCGCAAGAACACCAGUGGCGAAGGCGGCUCACUGGCCCGAUACUGACGCUGAGGCACGAAAGCGCGGGGAGCAAACAGG
rnacentral:rRNA from 1 species